CGUAUAUUAAAGUUGUUGCAGUUAAAAAGCUCGUAGUUGGAUGUCUGCUGGAAGCAAUCAGUCCGCCCUAUUUGUAGGGUGUGCACUUGAUGAAUUCUGGCAUUUUUGUCCCAAUGAUGUAACGGGGCGGUGGUAUUCAGUGAAAGCUGAGUAUCCUGUUCCGAUUAUUGGGAUACUGUUACUUUGAGAAAAUUAGAGUGUUUGAAGCAGGCUAAUUGCCUUGAAUACUGCAUCAUGGAAUAACAAUAUAGGAUUUCGGUUCUAUUUUGUUGGUUUCUAUGACUGAAAUAAUGAUUAAUAGGGACAGUUGGGGGCAUUCGUAUUUAACUGUCAGAGGUGAAAUUCUU
rnacentral:rRNA from 1 species